CACACGACCGUACCGCAAACCGACACUGGUGCGCGAGAUGAGUAUUCUAAGGCGCUUGAGAGAACUCAGGAGAAGGAACUCGGCAAAUUGACACCGUAACUUCGGAAGAAGGUGUGCCUUUAGUAGGUGAACCAUUUACUUGGGGAGCCCAAUGAGGCUGCAAAAAAUCGGUGGCUGCAACUGUUUAUUAAAAACACAGCACUCUGCUAAGACGAAAGUCGACGUAUAGGGUGUGACGCCUGCCCGGUGCUGGAAGAUUAAAUGAUGGGGUGCAAGCUCUUGAUUGAAGUCCCAGCAAACGGCGGCCGUAACGAUAACGGUCCUAAGGUAGCGAAAUUCCUUGUCGGGUAAGUUCCGACCUGCACGAAUGGCGUAAUGAUGGCCACACUGUCUCCUCCUGAGACUCAGCGAAGUUGAAAUGUUUGUGAUGAUGCAAUCUCCCCGCGGAAAGACGGAAAGACCCCAUGAACCUUUACUGUAGCUUUGUAUUGGACUUUGAACAGAUCUGUGUAGGAUAGGUGGGAGGCUUUGAAGUGUGGUCGCUAGAUCGCAUGGAGCCAACGUUGAAAUACCACCCUGGUGUGUUUGAGGUUCUAACCUAGGUCCAUUAUCUGGAUCGGGGACAGUGCAUGGUAGGCAGUUUGACUGGGGCGGUCUCCUCCCAAAGUGUAACGGAGGAGUUCGAAGGUACGCUAGGUACGGUCGGACAUCGUGCUAAUAGUGCAAUGGCAUAAGCGUGCUUAACUGCGAGACUGACAAGUCGAGCAGAUGCGAAAGCAGGACAUAGUGAUCCGGUGGUUCUGUAUGGAAGGGCCAUCGCUCAACGGAUAAAAGGUACUCUGGGGAUAACAGGCUGAUACCGCCCAAGAGUUCAUAUCGACGGCGGUGUUUGGCACCUCGAUGUCGGCUCAUCUCAUCCUGGGGCUGUAGCCGGUCCCAAGGGUAUGGCUGUUCGCCAUUUAAAGAGGUACGUGAGCUGGGUUUAAAACGUCGUGAGACAGUUUGGUCCCUAUCUUCCGUGGGCGCUGCAGAUUUGAGGAAGCCUGCUCCUAGUACGAGAGGACCGGAGUGGACGAACCUCUGGUGUAUCGGUUGUCACGCCAGUGGCAUUGCCGAGUAGCUAAGUUCGGAAGAGAUAACCGCUGAAAGCAUCUAAGCGGGAAACUCGUUUCAAGAUUAGAUCUGCCGGGGCCUUGAGCCCCCUAAAGAGUCGUUCAAGACCAGGACGUUGAUAGGUCAGGUGUGGAAGCG
rnacentral:rRNA from 1 species